rnacentral:lncRNA from 1 species
GUCCCUGCGGCGUCCCGGUGUAAUUUUCGGGACUUCCGACGAGUUACGCAGAUCAGUUUUUGGGAAACCGAUUCCGUGGUAAAUUGUGGGGAUUGUGAGUAUUGUGUUUUGAGUCAAUGGGUUGGACUUUGAUCCUGUGGACCCUUCGUAGGUCCGGUCGACGGUUUUGCACAUUAUAGAGAUGGAUGCGACAGUGAUACAGGUGGGUACUUCGAUCCGAAGUCGGUCUAGUGGUGCACAUUUGGUGAUG